GAUGUAAUAAUAAGUAGAGAGAAGACUUUAUUUCACUUACCUUUCGUCUCUUUCCCAUUAUAUAUUAUAGUGUAUAUAGUUAUACAUGUACACAUACAUAUACAUAUAUAAUAUAAUAAUACUUUAUGUUUGCAUUAUGUUUUAUAACACUUUAUCAUCACGAUGUCUUUACCGUGAGAGUUUUUAUAAGAUAAGUAAAUUUAUAUUGUUUCGAUUUAUGUUUAUAGAAUAUAUAUAUUCUAGACACUAUGAAAUUAUGCUUUUUCUGGAUAUAUCGUCAUAAGUUGUAGGCAUUGCCUCUUUUACGAUCAAAUCUAUAACUAAAUCAUAUCCAGAUAGAUCGUUAGAUAUAUGGUAGGUUCUGCCUCCUUCAUGAUCAAAUAAAAGCUAUGUCUUUUCCGGAUAAAUAGAUCGUUAUAUAUGAAAGAUCGUUAAAAUGGAAGACUAUGCCUCCUAUAUGAUCAAAUAUAAAGACUAUGUCAUUUCUGGAUUGAUCGUUAUAAGUGGUAGGCUUUAUCUCCUUUGCGAUCAAAUAUAUAGCUAUGUUAUAUCCAAAUUGAUCGUUUGAUAUAUGGUAGGCUCUACCUCCUUCACGAUCAAAUAAAAGCUAUGUAUUUUUUGGAUAGAUAGAUCGUUAUAUAUGGUAGGUUUUGCCUCCUUUACGAUCAUAUAUAAAGCUAUAUAAUAUUUGAACUGAUCAUUUGAUAUGGUAGGCUUCGCCCCCCCCCUUCACGAUUUAACAAAAGGUUAUGUCCUUUCUGAAAAGAUCGGCUUUGCUUUCUAUACGAUCAAAUAUAAGGCUAUGUCAUUUUUGGAUUGAUCGUUAUACAUAUAGAGGUUCUGCCUCAUUCAUGAUCAAAUAAAAAGCUUUGUCUUUUCUGGAUCGAUUGUUAUA